UACGUAGGGUGCGAGCGUUAAUCGGAAUUACUGGGCGUAAAGCGCACGUAGGCGGCUUUGCAAGUCAGAGGUGAAAGCCCGGGGCUCAACCCCGGAAUUGCCUUUGAGACUGCAUCGCUAGAAUUGUGGAGAGGUAAGUGGAAUUCCGAGUGUAGAGGUGAAAUUCGUAGAUAUUCGGAAGAACACCAGUGGCGAAGGCGACUUACUGGACACAUAUUGACGCUGAGGUGCGAAAGCGUGGGGAGCAAACAGG
rnacentral:rRNA from 1 species